AACGAACGCUGGCGGCAGGCCUAAUACAUGCAAGUCGAACGCACCGCAAGGUGAGUGGCAGACGGGUGAGUAACGCGUGGGAAUCUUCCUUGCAGUACGGAAUAACUCCGGGAAACCGGUGCUAAUACCGUAUACGUCCUUCGGGAGAAAGAUUUAUCGCUGCAAGAUGAGCCCGCGUCGGAUUAGCUAGUUGGUGGGGUAAAGGCCUACCAAGGCUACGAUCCGUAGCUGGUCUGAGAGGAUGAUCAGCCACACUGGGACUGAGACACGGCCCAGACUCCUACGGGAGGCAGCAGUAGGGAAUAUUGGACAAUGGGCGCAAGCCUGAUCCAGCCAUGCCGCGUGAGUGAAGAAGGCCUUAGGGUUGUAAAGCUCUUUUGGCGGGGAAGAUAAUGACGGUGCCCGCAGAAUAAGCUCCGGCUAACUUCGUGCCAGCCGCCGCCGUAA
rnacentral:rRNA from 1 species